GAUGAACGCUGGCGGCGUGCCUAAUACAUGCAAGUCGAGCGAACGGACGAGAAGCUUGCUUCUCUGAUGUUAGCGGCGGACGGGUGAGUAACACGUGGAUAACCUACCUAUAAGACUGGGAUAACUUCGGGAAACCGGAGCUAAUACCGGAUAAUAUUUUGAACCGCAUGGUUCAAAAGUGAAAGACGGUCUUGCUGUCACUUAUAGAUGGAUCCGCGCUGCAUUAGCUAGUUGGUAAGGUAACGGCUUACCAAGGCAACGAUGCAUAGCCGACCUGAGAGGGUGAUCGGACACACUGGAACUGAGACACGGUCCAGACUCCUACGGUAGGCAGCAGUAGGGAAUCUUCCGCAAUGGGCGAAAGCCUGACGGAGCAACGCCGCGUGAGUGAUGAAGGUCUUCGGAUCGUAAAACUAUGUUAGUAGGGAAGAACAUAUGUGUAAGUAACUGUGCACAUCUUGACGGUACCUAAUCAGAAAGCCACGGCUAACUACGUG
rnacentral:rRNA from 1 species